rnacentral:rRNA from 1 species
AUUGAACGCUGGCGGCAGGCCUAACACAUGCAAGUCGAACGGAGCGGCGAACGGGGGAGUGAGGCCUAGGAAUCUGCCUGUUGGUGGGGGAUACCGUCCGGGAACGGGCGCUAAUACAGCAUACUAUCAGAUGAGCCUCGGUCGGAUUAGCUAGUUGGUGGGGUAAAGGCUUACCAAGGCGACGAUCCGUAACUGGUCUGAGAGGAUGAUCAGUCACACUGGAACUGAGACACGGUCCAGACUCCUACGGGAGGCAGCAGUGGGGAAUAUUGGACAAUGGGCGAAAGCCUGAUCCAGCCAUGCCGCGUGUGUGAAGAAGGUCUUCGGAUUGUAAAGCACUGUAAGUUGGGAGGCGUUACCAACAGAAUAAGCACCGGCUAACUUCGUGCCAGCCGCCGCGGUAAUAC